CAAUUUUGCCCUCCCAACUUGCUAAAAUUACUUGACGCAUCUCCUCUUCUCUCUGUUCCUCCUCUUCCUUUCUCUCUCCUCACUCCCACCAAAACCCAUCGCCACUCCCUCACCUCACUGGUCAUCCACCAUCACCAAGCAGGUAAACACCUCCAUUUUUUAAAAAAUUCCUUCUCUUCCCCUAUUUCUCUCUCCCAGGGUUUACUUUCACUUCACCUACCCUAAUUUUCGCUCAUUAACCUUAACUCUUCACAAUUUACUCCCGAAUUUCUCCUGCAAUUCUUCAUCACAAGCAUUCAUAAAUGGCGAUUUUUUCCAGACCGAAUAUUCUCUCCGUUCACCGCCGACUGUCAGAAGGCUAUUAUCUUCUUCAAGUUUCUCUCUCCUUCGCAUUUCCGGCACAUAGGAAAACUCGAUGGCAAGUUGAAUGAUGAAUUAUUGGGAGCAAAGGCAUCUGUAGCUGAGGCAGAGACUGAAGUUCUUUUGGAUUUAACAGAAAAGAUUAAACUGGCCCUUGAUGACAUUGAAAAAAUGUUGAAGAGUGUAAUUGCACUUGAUGUUAUUUUCAUUUGCAAUAUCAAUUUUGAAUUUUGAUGCUAACGAAAGACUUGUAGAGGAUGACCUCAUCCUCUCUUCUUCUCCUUCUUAUCAUUCCUCUUCUUAGAUCUUAGUUUUCGCAUCUGGGUUCCUUCAAACGGUGUGUUUUCUCUCUCUUAUUUUUUUUACCUUUAUAUCAAAUGAAUUCUGGGUUUUUGUAUAAUGUUGAUUCUUUUUUUUGUUGUUUAUGUUUAUGUUUAUGAUUGAUUCAGGAAUCCUAGAUUGAUAUAUACACGAUCCGAUGUCCUUCAAUUGAAUUGAAAAAUACCCCACUUUUGGUUGAUUAGAAUUAUUACUGGGUUCUGUUCAUUUCUCAUAAAAAAAGGUGAUUUGUUUGGGUGUAUUUUAUCGAUUUAGUUCAUUAAUUUGGAUUAGUUUCAUUGAAUUGGUUGUUUUAUGAGUUGGGUAAUUUGAAUUUGGUGAUAUUGAUGUAGUAAUGGUGAAUUGUUGCAUAAUUUUGAUUGUAUACAUUUAUAAAUGUGAAUUUUUGGUAUGAUUUUAUGUUUUUGUAGUUUAUGAUAAUGAUGGGAUGUUGAGAAGAGUAUUAUGAGGUUUAUGAUGUUUAUUGUGAUUGAAUUGCAGAAAAAAAAAAUGGAAUUGGAUCUUGGUAAGCUUUUCAUUGUGUUUGCACUUGUGGAAUAAAACUUGCAGAAAAGUAAAACUCACUUGGAAAAUGCUAAUUCCUACUUCCAACUAAAUAAGCUCUUAAACACAAUUAGCAACAGAAUUGGCUUCUUCAUAGAUAUGCAAGGCAUAAUAUCUCAAAGUAAGGCUAAACAUGAUUCUAAUGCGAAAAAUUGUCGGGUUGGAGGAUUUUUUGGAUUGAUUUUUAAAAGAUUAUUUUCUAAAGGAAUUGAGUUUUUAAGAAUAUAUCGAAUAAGGGAAAAUUGAAGUUUAUAACUCCAAAACACUCUCCUACAAGCAAAACUAAAACAUGAUCUGGAAUCAAAAUAAGCCCUUAAACACAAUCAUCGACACAAUAGGCUUCUUGAUAAAUAUGCUAGGCAUGAUAGUUUAAAGUAAGGCUAAGCAUGAUUGUGAUGCAGAAAACUUGUUAGGUUGAAUUAUUUUCUCGAUUGAUUUUUUAAAGAUUAUUUUAUGAGGGGAUUGAGUUUUUGAAGAUGUAUCGAAUAAUGGGAAAUUGAAGUUUAUAACUCCAAAACGCUCUCCUAAAGCAAAACCAAAACACGACGGAGAAAUGAGAAGUAUCAAAUAAAAACUAUAUGAAAAAUAAAAAUAAAAAUAAGAGUAACUAAAAGGAAAUAAGUAGAAAAUAAAUUAUGAAAAUUUGAUCAAUAUGACUAAAACAAAAUAGCUUACGGAACUAAGAGCUAAAAACUAAAAGAAAGAACUAAUUACUCUAAUUAAGCCACAAAAUAGUAAAAGAAGGAUAAUAAAGAAUAAAAAUAUGAAAAAUAAAAUAAAACAACUAUAAUCACGCACAAGUUUUUACCAUAUAAGUGACAUAAAUAUCACUCAUCAACAAUUUUAGUGAAUUAUGUUGGAUACUCUCAUAUAUGUGGAUUUGUUUCUUAAAGUUGGAUUAGCUGCUACUUUCGUGUCUUUGAUGCAAACUCAGUCACCUCUUUUGUGAUUAUUUAGAUAUUAUUGGUAUGGUUAUCUAAGUCGAAGAACAUGCGCAAAUCAUUGUGACAUGUUAUCUACACAAUAAGGGCGUUUUAGAGCUAAUGCAAUCUAUGUAGCUUAUGUUCUUAUUAACUACCAAGUUUAGAUGCCUUUGUUUUUCUGAAAUGAUUAUGCUAAUGAUGAACAUUCAGUUGUCCGCAAUUAUUAUUGUUAUUUUGGGGGGCCGCGCGCGAUAGCGCGCGGUCCAACAACUAGUUACAAAAAUGUCCCUGGGUGUACCAUGAGCAUGGUACACCCGGGUGUACCAUGAGUGGACUCGAAAUGUUAUAUGUAUUCCUUAAGGCUACAUAUAAUAAGUUAUCAUGCUCAUGGUACACCCAGGGAUACAUAUAACAUUUCGAGUCCACUCAUGGUACACCCGGGUGUACCAUGCUCAUGAGCAUGAUAACUGGGACACUCACAAAUGGGCAUUUCAUGGGUUUCAACAAUAAUAGUGCACGCUAAUGUGAAACACAAUAUCAUAAUAGUGUCGCAUAAUGCUAGUGUCAGACAUACAUGUAUGGUAUCUCACAAAUAAAGAUUAAUUGAAAAUCAUAAAAGAGUCGUUAUAUAUAAAUGUUGUGGGGAAGACGAUGUGUGAGGAUGACUUCAAGUGGUGUGGCUUUGAGGUUCGUUAAUCCAAAACCUUCAGUCAUGUCAACAGCUUCAUCAGAUAAAAUUGUGAUCUCAAAUGCAUGGAGUAAUUUAGCUAGUGUAAACUGCAUGAAUCGAAGUGCAGAAGAUAUACCAGGACAAAUCCUCCUACCACUUCCAAAAGGCAUAUAUUCAAAUUGUUGGCCUCUAACAUCAUACUCUUUGUAAGUUGUAAGAAACCUUUCAGGACGAAACUCCAAAGGAUCUUCCCACACUUUAGGAUCUCUAUGUACUUUGUAAAGAUUAACAAAGAGUCGAGUGCCAGCUGAGAUGUGGUAACCAUUCACGGUGCAGUUUAUAAUGGCUUCUCGAGGAACUGAAAGGGGUGCAGCUGGAUAUAGUCUCAUGGUCUCUUUGAGAACAGCUUGUAAGUAAACUAAAUUUUUGAGGUCUGAUUCUUCCACUUGCCUGUUUUUGCCCACUUGUAUGUCUAGUUCAGCUUGAGUCUUUUUCAGGAUAUCUUUGUUGUUGAGUAGCAAUGAUAGUGCCCAUGUUAGGGUUGCUGCUGUGGAGUCUGCUCCCCCUAAAAUCAUUGCCUAUCAAGAUGAAGGAGAUAUUGAUUCUUUCCAAUUACUUCAUCAAGUGAUUGAAAAACCAAUAAUUAGUUGGAGUAGACUUUCUUACAGAUUAUGUUUUUUUCUUGGCUUGUUAAAUACAACUUAGCUCUCAUCUUACUUUUUAUUGUUACUGUUAAGCGUCUAAACUAAAACAGGAAAAUCAUUUGACAUUAGACAUCUAUUAGUUGGAUAGGGGCUGUCCCAAGCGUUACAGAGGCAUGUACGACUACUAUUAAACGGGGCCUUAGUCGGUGAAUAUGAAUUAUUAUUUAAUAACAAUUCGUUUUUAAGCAUGUGCAGAUAAUUAUAAUUUUCAUUUAUUAACAUUUUACUUCAUAAAUAUAAAACCAAAUAUUAGUUUGGUUUGAUGGUCAAAGCUUUAGUGUAUCAGCUUGAGGUUAUGGGAUCAAAUUUUAUAAGAUGUAUAAUCUAUUUUUUUUUAGGGUAAUGUUAUAUGUAGCCCUAAGGGCUACAUAUAAGCAUCAAAUACAUUUCUUUAAAUAGAAACCGUUUAAGAAUGCAAGACACAUUUUCACCUCAACUGAGGUAAUAAAUGCUUGAUUCAAUAUUUUAUUUCCAUUUUAAGCACCUUAUACAUGACCCUAAGUUAGAGCUAUGUAUAUCAUUUUCCUUUUUUUAGGGUAAUGUUAUAUGUAGUCCUAAGCAUCAAAUACAUUUCUUUAAAUGGAAACAAUUUAAGAAUUCAAGAUACAUUUUCACAUCAACUGAGGUAAUAAAUGCUUGAUUCAAUAUUUUAUUUCCAUUUUAAGCACCUUAUACAUAGCCCUAAGGGCUAUGUAUAUCAUUUUCCUUUUUUUAUUAUACGCUUGUUUAUAUAAAGUAAACACAUUAAGAAAUAGCGCCAUGUAACAUAGUUAUUUGCUUAGGAACACCUUUUAAUAUAUUAGUAUAUAUAUAUUGUUAAAGUUAUAAACUAAAAAAGAUGCUAACAAUGCAAACUAAUUGCUUAGUCACUCAAACAAAUAUAACUUUACACAUCCUUACUCUAACAAUUAAUUUGGUAGGUUUUCAUGUGGAAAUUAAAUUUCCAUGGAAAAAUAUAAUUGUAUAGUGGUUUACCUUUUGGUUCUUGAAUAAGAAGGAAAAUGUUUUGCACCCAUUAGAGAAUUACUUUUUCAUCCAUUGGAAAAUUGAUUUACACCUUUUACAAAACAAAGUAAAUUGGGAAAAUCACUUUUCUAAAAAUGAGUUCCUCCCAAACACACACUACUAUAGUAAUGUUACUAUGUUCUAUCACAAUAUUAGGUAGUAAUUCAAGGAAUUUUCAUACUUUUUAACAGUUAGUAGUAGUAUAGAAAUAAGAAUUGAAGAACAUGUAAAAGUAGUGCUUAUUACCAUGCAAGUAGCUUUAAUGAUUGUAUCUGCUUCAAAUUUGGAAACAUUUUCCUGUGUGUUCUCCAUAAUGUCAAGCAUCGCAUCCAUGAAAUACCGCUUUUCUUGUGUCUCUUUCGAUCUUCUCCUUCUCCUAUGCUCCUCCAACCAAUUUUGAGCUAUAACAUCGAUGUCUAAUGCAGCCUUCUUCAUUUUUUUCUCGUACCCUCCAAUAUCCAACCACCUCAAAAACGGAAGUGCAUCAGCAGGGACAAAUGCACCUCCCAAUACAAAAAAUUCCCUGAUUGCCUUCAAGCACCGAGUGUAUUCCUCAUCUUGAUAGAAGCUCGACAGUGGUGAUCUUUCGUAUCUCACGCCAGUACUGACCAUAAGGGGCUAGGCCGAACAUGGCGGAGUUGUAACCGAGAAACUCUGCAAACAUUGUAUAUGGCCGAUUUAAGAAUACUUUAUCAUUCGCGCCUAAGCACUCUUUUGCUGUCUCUGCUGUGCUUACUACUAAAGCUCGGUGAACGCCGAGCUUUAUCAU